rnacentral:rRNA from 1 species
CAGUAGCCGUGGGAAUACGUAGGGUGCAAGCGUUGUCCGGAAUUAUUGGGCGUAAAGAGCUCGUAGGCGGUUUGUCGCGUCGGCUGUGAAAACCUGAGGCUCAACCUCGGGCCUGCAGUCGAUACGGGCAGACUAGAGUUCGGUAGGGGAGACUGGAAUUCCUGGUGUAGCGGUGGAAUGCGCAGAUAUCAGGGGGAACACCGGUGGCGAAGGCGGGUCUCUGGGCCGAAACUGACGCUGAGGAGCGAAAGCGUGGGGAGCGAACAGGAUUAGAUACCCGCGUAGUCCCUGUCUCUUAUAC